AACAAGGCGUACCUGCGGACCUGCGGAAGGAUCAUUACCGAGUUUACAACUCCCAAACCCCUGUGAACAUACCUAUACGUUGCCUCGGCGGAUCAGCCCGCGCCCUGUAAAAAGGGACGGCCCGCCCGAGGACCCUAAACUCUGUUUUUAGUGGAACUUCUGAGUAAAACAAACAAAUAAAUCAAAACUUUUAACAACGGAUCU
rnacentral:misc_RNA from 1 species